rnacentral:rRNA from 1 species
UUGACCUCGGAUCAGGUAGGGAUACCCGCUGAACUUAAGCAUAUCAAUAAGCGGAGGAAAAGAAACCAACAGGGAUUGCCCUAGUAACGGCGAGUGAAGCGGCAAUAGCUCAAAUUUGAAAGCUGGCCUCUGGUCCGCAUUGUAAUUUGUAGAGGAUGCUUUUAGGCAGCCGCCGGUCUAAGUUCCUUGGAACAGGACGUCAUAGAGGGUGAGAAUC